rnacentral:misc_RNA from 1 species
GCUUAUCUGUUAGUGAUCCAUCUAGGUUGUUCCUGCCAGUGGAACAAAUCUGGUACAAAUGGUUCAAGAUAUUGUUUAGUUAACAUACUUUACAUUCAGGUGAAGAACUGCAGAAUAAACGUCUCUGUCAGGGAGUGCUAGGCCUGAUGUGGCACUGUUUUACUCUUGAACAACCAGCUAUGGGGCUUUUUUCAUCUUGGUGAAUGAUUUAUAAUUCACUCACCUAACUACUCAAUUUGAUUCAGUGCUGUUGUCCUUUUAAAUUGUGCACAUUAAAAUAACUAUAUUAAUCUAUUUCUGUUUAUGGUGAAUCUAUUUUGAAUGUGAAUUUUUUAAUAUUAAUAAAAUUAGAGAUGAUAAAUCAUCAUAACAAAAUAAGCUUCCGGAGGUUUAGAGUUUGGUUGAACAAACGUCAAAUAAAACACUUUCUAUUUAUACUUUUAUUUUUAAUUGCCUUCACAAUGUUAUGUGGGCUUUAUUUCCACACUUUCGAAUACCAAAGGAGCAAAGUAGAGAUUGCCAUGAAAGAAGAAACACAACAGAAUACAGUUAAGGUUACUUCUUCAUUAAUACAAUUACGAAAUACUAUAAAUUACAUCAACACAAUGCAAGAGAUUAAAAAUUUUGAUGGGAACAUCACAGAUCGGACAAUAAUUUUAGUAAUUCAGGUUCACAAACGCAUAGCUUAUUUACGAGGUUUGAUUGAAAGUCUUCGCUCAGUUGAAGAUAUAAGUUCUGUUAUUUUAAUAUUCAGUCACGAUUAUUUUGAUGAGGAAAUAAAUAAAUUAGUGAAUUCCAUUGAUUUUGCACCAGUUAUGCAAAUAUUCCUGCCGUUUAGUAUUCAAUUGUAUCCCAACGAGUUUCCAGGGUUAAGCCCAAAUGACUGUCCAUGGAACUUAAGCGUUGAAAAGGCCAAACAGCUGGACUGCCAGGGUGCCCAGAACCCAGAUCAGUACGGACACUACAGACAGGGUGAGGUAACCCAGAUCAAACAUCACUGGUGGUGGAAGAUCAACAGGGUGUUUGAUCAAUUAAGGGUCACUGACAACUUCAAUGGUUUUGUGUUGUUCCUGGAAGAAGACUAUUAUGUUGCUCCCGACAUUCUACACACUCUUCGACUCAUGGUCAACUUUGCUGCCGUCAACUGUCCAUCUUGCAACAGCUUUCAUCUUGGCACCUUUACUAGGAGUAUGUCUUAUCAGGAGCAUGCAUCUAAGGUGAGUGGAGGAGAGUGGAACAACUUGGGCUUGUCAUUCAACCGAUCGUUCUGGCAGAUACUGAAAGCUUGUUCCCCCACGUUCUGCACCUUCGAUGACUACAACUGGGAUGGAAGCUACCAGUUCGCUGCUCAGCAAUGCUUCUCCCAGAAACUAACCCCUCUAAUUGUUCAUGCAUCACGAGUGCUUCAUGUUGGUGACUGUGGUGGUAUGCACAACAACCGGGCAGGUUGUGAUGCUGACAAGUCUGUACAGCGAGCGAGAAACUUUGUGAAGUUGGUGCGUCCAUUUCUGUUUCCCAAGAGUCUCACAAUGCUCUCUACAAACUUUAAACAGCCACAAGCCAAGAGGGGAUGGGGAGGCUUUGCUGACCCUCGAGACAUCCAGCUGUGCCUUAACUUUAGCUCCUUAUCUAUCCAGUUAAUCCCUGACUCAUGAGUAGGGAAUAAGAAUUUUUAUUGAAUUUAAAGUAAGAGUAUUUAGAUAAACAGUGCCAAGAUAUUCUAAGGAGUCAUGCCCUAAAUAUCAAAUUGGUUUAAACUAAUAUUUUUAUAUUGUAGUAAUAUGUGAACUGUAUAAUUAAAACCCAAAUAGUUAAAUUGACUGACUUAAAAAAAAUUAUGCAAAAAUGUUGCACUUUUGGGUGAUUUAUUAUUGAUUGAAACACAAUUGAGAAGUUUGAUUCAGACUACACUAACAAUCAAUUAUUUGUUGUGUACAAAGUUUUACUGAACUGUACCAAACUGAAAUUUUGUAUAUUAUAAAUCUUUAAUAUAUAUUCCUAUGUACUACUUUUUCAAACAUUAACAAUCUGUAGUUACAAGUGAAGAUUUAUAGAUUUGAAUACAUGACGUUAUAAUUAGUAGAUGUGUAAUAGUAGUUUUAUAUCAUUACAUGUUUUGAAUGGAGUAGUGAUUGAAUUCGCAACAGUGUUAGGAAUUAUUGCAAAGUUGCCAAUGUUCACUUCAAAAUUGACAUAGCCUGCUGGCUGAGGUUACGUUUAGAUUGUUAAUAUUAUUAUUUAAUGUGUUUACACUGAAUUAUCUGUUUCAAACUCAUUAAAAGAUAUUUUAACAAAGACAAAAAGACAAAUCAAUGUGUGUCUUACAUACACUAUGAUAGCAUCUACAAAAUCGGUUCACAUUACAAAUUUUUAGCAAUGGUUUUUUUUCCUCAAAAUUAGCCAACUUUUGAUACAAAUUGUCCAAAAAUUGCUAUAUAUAAUAAUUUUUAAACAUUUACUAAAUUUGUUUAAGAAAUAAAGAAUUUUUGAAAAAAGUAUUUGUCAGAAAUUAGAAAAUUAGUUGUUUUUUAUACAGCAAAAUAUUGAUAUUUUAUUUUAUUUCAUUUUCUGCAAAUAAAAAUGUUUAAACAGUCAUCUGAGUAUAUCUAUUAGUUCUGAAGAUAAAAUUGUCUAAUAGAUCAUUACAAUUUUGAAUAAAGCUGAUAAGUUUUUUUUUCAUGGGCAGUCUGAUAGCCGGUAACCUUAAAAGGGUAUUAAAUAUUUAAUAGGUUAAAAAUGUUUGAAGUGUAUUAGUUUUAAAUAUGUUAAAGCACAUUAUGUUAAUUUGUAAAACAUUUCUUGUAAUGAAAUUAUCAAUUUUCUCUUGUAUUUAGUAAAAGAAAUAAAGUUUUUAUUGUUGUGAUCUUGAAA